UGGUUCCCUCUUAUAAUCUAUGCAUGAUCAAUCUUCUCAUUGAGCAUUCUGGGAUAGACCAGAUUGUUCCAUGUGAUUAUUCAGGGGGAGUCUGGGUUUUUAUACAAUCCAAAACAGUCUAAAAUGACACUGCAACUGUGAUUCUCUUAUAAUUUUCAAGUUUUACUUUUAUUUAUCAUUUGAUAUAUUUGUACCUUCAAUAAAAUUAAUGUAAAAAUAAAAUGAUGAUGGCUUUGAUAUUUUGGGAUCACCCCUGUUUCACAUUAUGAUUGCCCCUUCAGUUAUACUGUUGAAAAAUUUGAAUCUCAGACAUUAAUGGGUCAAGUGGUUAUAGUUGGAAAUAGUGCAAACCUGGAUUUAUUUUAAGCAAUUUUGGACCUAUCUUGUUUUAAAUGUUAGGGAGCAUAUUUUGGAAUUUUCAAAGAAAACAUUUAUCUAAGUGUGACAAGAUUCAGGAAAUGUUUGGUUGUUGUAAUUGAACCUAAAGAUCAAUGACCUGGGACAGGAAGAUAAACAAAAGAAACAUGAUAGUAAAAAGGUUCAGAGUCAGCUUGUAAGCAAGUUUGCAAGACUGUUUCAAACUACAAGAAGAUGGCAAUCCAGCUUUGCUGUGUUUUAUCAUAGUAUAUCAUUGGCAUCCAGGCAUCGAUAAAGGAAGCCAACUGUAGACCAGGAAAGGCUUCAAGGAAUAUACUACAGAAUUGUAUCCUGGAGCAUUUUCCACAUGUGACCCCUGUGAUGGUGAGGGAAAAACUAAGGGACAUUUAAAAAUCAUGAAGAGUGAACAGGAAUUCAAAAGAUAGAUAUUUGAAUACAUUAAAAUUUAACCGGAUACCAAAAAAUUAUAACUGAACAUUGAGUGUAAUAUUUACCAUUAAAGACUUCUAACUUAACUUUUCAUUUGU